rnacentral:rRNA from 1 species
CCUACGGGUGGCUGCAGUGAGGAAUAUUGGUCAAUGGGCGGAAGCCUGAACCAGCCAAGUAGCGUGCGGGAUGAAGGCCCUACGGGUCGUAAACCGCUUUUGCACGGGGAUAACACCCUCCACUUGUGGAGGUCUGCAGGUACCGUGCGAAUAAGGGCCGGCUAAUUCCGUGCCAGCAGCCGCGGUAAUACGGAAGGCCCGAGCGUUAUCCGGAUUCAUUGGGCUUAAAGGGAGCGUAGGCGGGCGUUCAAGUCAGCUGUAAAAUCGCGGGGCUCAACCUCGCUCCGCCGUUGAAACUGGCGUUCUUGAGUGGGCGAGAAGUAUGCGGAAUGCGGGGUGUAGCGGUGAAAUGUAUAGAUAUCACGCAGAACUCCGAUUGCGAAGGCAGCAUACCGGCGCCCAACUGACGCUGAAGCACGAAAGCGUGGGUAUCGAACAGGAUUAGAUACCCCGGUAGUC